AGAUUAUGUUGAGGACAUUUCCUCAAGAGAUUCUUAAAACGUUCCCAAGCUUCGUAAAGACUCUCCUCCGGAAGUUGCACAAAUAUCAUGAUGUCAUUCUUCAAUUU